AGUGAACGCUGGCGGUAGGCCUAACACAUGCAAGUCGAACGGCAGCACAGUAAGAGCUUGCUCUUACGGGUGGCGAGUGGCGGACGGGUGAGGAAUACAUCGGAAUCUACUUUUUCGUGGGGGAUAACGUAGGGAAACUUACGCUAAUACCGCAUACGACCUACGGGUGAAAGCAGGGGAUCUUCGGACCUUGCGCGAUUGAAUGAGCCGAUGUCGGGUUAGCUAGUUGGCGGGGUAAAGGCCCACCAAGGCGACGAUCCGUAGCUGGUCUGAGAGGAUGAUCAGCCACACUGGAACUGAGACACGGUCCAGACUCCUACGGGAGGCAGCAGUGGGGAAUAUUGGACAAUGGGCGAAAGCCUGAUCCAGCAAUACCGCGUGGGUGAAGAAGGCCUUCGGAUUGUAAAGCCCUUUUGUUAGGAAAGAAAAGCAGCGUGUUAAUACCCCGCUGUUCUGACGGUACCCAAAGAAUAAGCACCGGCUAACUUCGUG
rnacentral:rRNA from 1 species